GGUCCCAUCGUCUAGUGGCCUAGGACACCGGCCUCUCACGCCGGAAACCGGGGUUCGAGUCCCCGUGGGACCGCCA
rnacentral:tRNA from 1 species